rnacentral:RNase_P_RNA from 1 species
CGAGUCGGCCGGACGGUCGCGGCCCCUCCCGGGGGUCGAGGAAAGUCCGGGCUCCACAGGGCAGGGUGGUCGGCAACACCGACCCGGGGUGACCCGCGGGAAAGUGCCACAGAAAGCAGACCGCCCCCGUCGCGCUCAUGACGGCGGGAGCAAGGGUGAAACGGUGCGGUAAGAGCGCACCAGCGCCCGGGGCGACCCGGGCGGCUCGGCAAACCCCACCCGGAGCAAGGUCGAGAGGCGCGGUCGCGAGGCCGUGCUGCCCGAGCGCUCGAGGGCUGCCCGCCCGAGCUCGGGGGUGGACCGCACGAGGCCGGCGGCAACGCCGGUCCCAGAUGGAUGGCCGUCACCUCCGCUGCGCUCUUCGGCGUGGCGGAGGGACAGAACCCGGCUUACAGGCCGGCUCGUCCC